GGCGGCGUAGCUCAGGUGGUAGAGCAGGCGGUUCAUACCCGCCGCGUCCGGGGUUCAAAUCCCUGCGCCGCCACCA
rnacentral:tRNA from 1 species